UCGAGCGGACAGAAGGGAGCUUGCUCCCGGAUGUUAGCGGCGGACGGGUGAGUAACACGUGGGUAACCUGCCUGUAAGACUGGGAUAACUCCGGGAAACCGGAGCUAAUACCGGAUAGUUCCUUGAACCGCAUGGUUCAAGGAUGAAAGACGGUUUCGGCUGUCACUUACAGAUGGACCCGCGGCGCAUUAGCUAGUUGGUGAGGUAACGGCUCACCAAGGCGACGAUGCGUAGCCGACCUGAGAGGGUGAUCGGCCACACUGGGACUGAGACACGGCCCAGACUCCUACGGGAGGCAGCAGUAGGGAAUCUUCCGCAAUGGACGAAAGUCUGACGGAGCAACGCCGCGUGAGUGAUGAAGGUUUUCGGAUCGUAAAGCUCUGUUGUUAGGGAAGAACAAGUGCAAGAGUAACUGCUUGCACCUUGACGGUACCUAACCAGAAAGCCACGGCUAACUACGUGCCAGCAGCCGCGGUAAUACGUAGGUGGCAAGCGUUGUCCGGAAUUAUUGGGCGUAAAGGGCUCGCAGGCGGUUUCUUAAGUCUGAUGUGAAAGCCCCCGGCUCAACCGGGGAGGGUCAUUGGAAACUGGGAAACUUGAGUGCAGAAGAGGAGAGUGGAAUUCCACGUGUAGCGGUGAAAUGCGUAGAGAUGUGGAGGAACACCAGUGGCGAAGGCGACUCUCUGGUCUGUAACUGA
rnacentral:rRNA from 1 species